rnacentral:lncRNA from 1 species
UUUAAUAAAAUGGUCCGAAAAUAAUCCCAACUUCAAAACACUGCAUCUCCCCCUCGUACACUCCAUCUCCAACCUCUGCCUUCUAUUCCCACCACCUCUCAGUGGCGGCGCCGACACCAUUACCUUAAAAAUUGACACCAAAACGUCCCCUCCACCUCCUCUUCAUGAAUAUCCACCUUUUACACUUCAAAUCCCACCCAAGAGCCUCAAAUCAGUGAAACCUCAGGACGCCGCCAUAGGUUCCUCCGCCUCCGCCGCAGCCCAAAUCCUACCAAACUCACAUCCUAGAGCCACCAUUCUUCCCCUCAUCUCAAAUUCCCGCUUGUUUUCUUUCAAAAGUUUCCGGAUCUAGUCGAAUCCUAAAGCCAAAAUUUUCAGACUUAGCCAUUAAAGGUCUUCAUAGCCAUGCAAGUGUGGCCCUCUGAAGUCACAUGAGUGUCCAAGACCAGGUCAACUUCCAAAUAACUAACGAUUUUAAACUCAAAGCGGUAAUGUCUUCUUUUUCUUUCUUAGUUCAUGAUUAAAUGAAUCUAUGGUUAUUCUUCUUCAUCUUUUCUCAUACCCUUGGUUCAAUGAGGUUCGAUUAGGUUAUCUAUUUUUUUUUUGUGUUAGUGUUCUGAUUGGUCAAAAAAAUGGGUUAUUUUAUUUCUGAUUCAAUAGCAUGUUUAGUUCUAUGCAUACGAUUGAUAAUCUAUUAAAUAAAUUGUUUAAUUGUGGAAAAUUAUGGAUAUUUGUGCAUUCUUGCUGAUACUUAAGGGCUUCUGGUUGUGUAGUUUAUCGACUGGGCUUAAUCCAUAUUCGAAAUAGCCCAGUUCAAAUUCAGUUUAUGCCAUUGGGCUUUUGACGCAUGGCCUGUCUUAGCUUAGGUACGAACAUGGGUUUCAAGGGGAGGCUACAUGUGAGGAAGUGAAGCAAAAUUUCAGGUGUAUUUGGGGAGGGAUAGGAGGAUCAUUUAGGGGGAAAUUGAAUGAACAAAGGUUCUAGAACCCUCCUAAUUCUGCUUAUAAAAGGCACCUCAUUCUGCCUUAAGUCACAAGUUUUCACCUCUAGUAUUCCCCCCAAAACUGUCCUGAAGUGCUCCAUAUCUGAAAUUCAAAUUCAAAUCAAACUUUCCCUUAGAAUUUAACUUCCUUUAUACAGAAAAAAAAAAGAAACUGGCUCAAAUCCAAAAACAAGAACAAAAAUACAGUAAGAAAUCAAAAAGAGCUCUGUUCCAUUGAGUUAGUAGGCUAUUUUUGGAGUUUUCAGUAAUGGCAAUGCAUUUUCAUGUUUAAGUUUUGGUGGCUCAGUGAUUUGGAGAAAUCCCGGUUAAUUUUCAAGUGAUUUGGGUAGUAUCUAUUUGGAUCUGGUUGGUUUCCGCUGGUGUUUUCUUCAUCUGUCAUUCGCUCCUGGGCUGUAGUGAUGCAACUUUGGCUUUCAAACUGAUCUUACUCUUAUGUUGCUGCUGGGUUUUAACUUCUAAUUGUUGGCUGCUCACUGCUGGCUCCUCCUUCCUUCUACUUUGCUUAAUUGCCAGGUACUUGCUUAAUCUCCAAUGGCCAGCUAAGGAAACUUGUAAUCAAAGCUUUUUAUUUGAAAUGAAAGGCUGAUUUGAGUGUUUGAAUUGGAUUACAUUUUAGAAUAGCAACAUUUGAAACUUAAUGAACUAGGACUUCGGUGAAUGUAACUGGACUCCUUCCAAAAGGGUCUUUGAAAGUAGGAGUUUGAAAUUGGUUUAGUUCUGUUUGAAUUAUUUCACCUGCUUUAGUUCCAAACUUUGAGGAAUCCAUAAGUCAGUUAAUUUUUCAUGUUCCAGCUAAUUUGAGUCAUUGAUCAGUGCUUUUCGUUCACUUGAAGUUUUGAAAGUAGAUUGCUAAUGAAUUAAAUAUGCCUGUACCGUAUAUUUCAUUUGAUUUAGAGUGUCAAUUUUCCUUGGUUCAUAUUGUUCUAGUUCACGUCUCGAUUGUCAGACUUGCAAUUCUGGGGAACUAAUUGAUUCAAUGGCACAACAUCUAUACGGAAUUUAUUUUUGCAGCAAUACCUUUCUUUCAUUUUAAAGAGCUCCAUAAGUAAUUGAAUGUGCUAAUUAGUAAUGAAUCUGAGGUUUUGAAUUAAAGAUUCCUCGAAUGCUAUCAAUAGUGGUUUAUUAAUGAUGCUGAUUAAAUGGGC